rnacentral:rRNA from 1 species
GAACGCUAGCUACAGGCUUAACACAUGCAAGUCGAGGGGCAGCAUGGUCUUAGCUUGCUAAGGCCGAUGGCGACCGGCGCACGGGUGAGUAACACGUAUCCAACCUGCCGUCUACUCUUGGACAGCCUUCUGAAAGGAAGAUUAAUACAAGAUGGCAUCAUGAGUCCGCAUGUUCACAUGAUUAAAGGUAUUCCGGUAGACGAUGGGGAUGCGUUCCAUUAGAUAGUAGGCGGGGUAACGGCCCACCUAGUCUUCGAUGGGUAGGGGUUCUGAGAGGAAGGUCCCCCACAUUGGAACUGAGACACGGUCCAAACUCCUACGGGAGGCAGCAGUGAGGAAUAUUGGUCAAUGGGCGAGAGCCUGAACCAGCCAAGUAGCGUGAAGGAUGACUGCCCUAUGGGUUGUAAACUUCUUUUAUAAAGGUAUAAAGUCGGGUAUGGAUACCCGUUUGCAUGUACUUUAUGAAUAAGGAUCGGCUAACUCCGUGCCAGCAGCCGCGGUAAUACGGAGGAUCCGAGCGUUAUCCGGAUUUAUUGGGUUUAAAGGGAGCGUAGAUGGAUGUUUAAGUCAGUUGUGAAAGUUUGCGGCUCAACCGUAAAAUUGCAGUUGAUACUGGAUAUCUUGAGUGCAGUUGAGGCAGGCGGAACUCGUGGUGUAGCGGUGAAAUGCUUAGAUAUCACGAAGAACUCCGAUUGCGAAGGCAGCCUGCUAAGCUGCAACUGACAUUGAGGCUCGAAAGUGUGGGUAUCAAACAGGAUUAGAUACCCUGGUAGUCCACACGGUAAACGAUGAAUACUCGCUGUUUGCGAUAUACAGCAAGCGGCCAAGCGAAAGCGUUAAGUAUUCCACCUGGGGAGUACGCCGGCAACGGUGAAACUCAAAGGAAUUGACGGGGGCCCGCACAAGCGGAGGAACAUGUGGUUUAAUUCGAUGAUACGCGAGGAACCUUACCCGGGCUUAAAUUGCAGAUGAAUUACGGUGAAAGCCGUAAGCCGCAAGGCAUCUGUGAAGGUGCUGCAUGGUUGUCGUCAGCUCGUGCCGUGAGGUGUCGGCUUAAGUGCCAUAACGAGCGCAACCCUUGUUGUCAGUUACUAACAGGUUCUGCUGAGGACUCUGACAAGACUGCCAUCGUAAGAUGUGAGGAAGGUGGGGAUGACGUCAAAUCAGCACGGCCCUUACGUCCGGGGCUACACACGUGUUACAAUGGGGGGUACAGAGGGCCGCUACCACGCGAGUGGAUGCCAAUCCCCAAAACCUCUCUCAGUUCGGACUGGAGUCUGCAACCCGACUCCACGAAGCUGGAUUCGCUAGUAAUCGCGCAUCAGCCACGGCGCGGUGAAUACGUUCCCGGGCCUUGUACACACCGCCCGUCAAGCCAUGGGAGCCGGGGGUACCUGAAGUGCGUAACCGCGAGGAGCGCCCUAGGGUAAAACUGGUGACUG